UCAAACACCAAGAAACACGCAAGCUGGAACAAUGAACCCACACUUCUCAUGAGCUGAAGCAAAAGCAGAAAAAUGCUUCUCACAGAAGCGCUUCUUCAUCGCGGAUUGAAGUUUCAGAGGCAAUCGAUGUUCAAAGAAAAAACCAUGCUCCAAGAAAGUUAAGCCAGUGCACAUCCUUAAGCACGAUGCAAUGAAUUUUCAUCAAGCAAUUUCGUCGUCGCGCUUCCGUUUGCUUCUUCAUCUUAGCAAUCGGACUCGGAGCGAAAACAAGGUGAAGAAUCAAUGCUUAAACAAAUUUCUUCGAAAUCAUCAUCCAACCGAGGUUCAUAACUUAUGCGCGCGAAUUUGAAAUGACGGAAACGAAAUCGAAGAGAACUCACUGUAUGGAACAGGGCUACUUAGAGUGCUUGAUGAAAUUGCUAUCAUGGACAUGUUGUAAUGGAUCAUGCUUGAAGUAUGGAAUUGGAUCAUUGGCAUUUGGUUAGGGGAUGCUUGAGUUGUUCUUGUGUAGUUGUAAGGUUAUGUAAUGUGGUAAUGUAUUUGAAUUGUAUGUAAUUUUGGAAGAUGACUUUGUAAUUUAUGGACAUGUUGUAAUGGGAAUGACAUAUCAUGGCUUUGAGGUUUAUUAGAACAUGGUUGAAAUUUGGUUUAUUGUUUGUAAUGGUUUAAGGUUGAAAGUUGAAAAUGAAUGUAAUUUGGAAUUGAUGGCUGGAUAUGAAAUUGUAAUGAAGGGUAAUAUGAUGAACUUGUAUGAAA